GUUCUCUGGCGCACCCUCUAACCUGUUCAGACUAAUUUCCUAAGUUCUGCUGAGUCCUGGAACCUAAAGUUAUUUUUAAAACAAAACACCUUUUUUGUUGUUUGAAAAGGAAAGAAAAACAAUAAAAAGUAAAUGAUCAGACUUUGAGGUUCUGAAACAAACAAACCAACAAACAGGAAGACAAGAUAAUUGCUUCUACAUGGAGGCUGAUGUCACUUUGAAAUGAGGUGAACAGAAUUCUGUGGCCCAGACAAUGCCUGAUGUUCUACUGCAACCUCGUAUGUUUUAAAAUUCAAAAUUUGGAGCUAGAGAGGUCGCUCAGUGAUAAAGUACUGACAGCUCUUCUGGAGGACCAAGAUUCAACUCAUUGCACCAGUGUGGAAACUUAGAACUGUUUCUAAGAAACGAGGACAAAAGGAAAAAAGAAAAAGAAGAAAAAAACCUACAAAAGAUGCUCCAAACAGUAGGAAUGAGGCCUGGCUUUCCCGGUGAUUUCCAUAAAAGGGUCGUUUGCCCCACCCCCAAGGGGUCUCAACCCACAGGCUGAGAACCACUGAUCCAGUGUUUUGUCUAUGAAAAAGUACACAAAAGCAAAGAAGGUGAAUCUUCAUUGUUAAAUAUUCAUGAACAGCAGUGCAAGAAUUUCUCCCAGCAAGAUUUUGCGGAAAGGACCUGAUAUAGCUGUCUCUUGUGAGGCUAUGCCAGUGACUGGCAAAUACAGAAGUGGAUAAUCACAGUCAUCUAUAGGAUGGAACACAGGGUGCCCAGUGGAUGAGCAAGAGAAAGUACCCAAAGCUGAAGGGGUCUGUAACCCUAUAGGAGGAACAACAAUAUGAACUAACCAGUAUCCCCAGCGCUUGUGUCUCUAGCUGCAUAUGUAGCAGAAGGUGGCCUAGUCAGCCAUCAUUGGGAAGAGAGGCCCCUAGGUCUUG
rnacentral:lncRNA from 1 species